rnacentral:rRNA from 1 species
AUUGAACGCUGGCGGCAGGCCUAACACAUGCAAGUCGAACGAGUGGCGGACGGGUGAGUAAUGUGUGGGAAACUGACUGAUGGAGGGGGUUCACUAAUGGAAACGGUAGCUAAUACCGCAUACCAUCAGAUGUGCCCAGAUGGGAUUAGCUUGUUGGUGGGGUAACGGCUAACCAAGGAGACGAUCCCUAGCUGGUCGGAGAGGAGUACCAGCCACACGGUAACUGGGACACGUGCCAGACUCCUACGGUAGGCAGCAGGGGGGAAUAUUGGACAAUGGGCGCAAGCCUGAUGCAGCCAGUCCGCGUGUAUGAAGAAGGCCUGCGGGUUGUAAAGUACUUUCAGCGGGGAGGCGUUACCCGCAGAAGAAGCACCGGCUAACUCCGUGCCAGCAGCCGCGGUAAUAC